rnacentral:rRNA from 1 species
GAUGAACGCUGGCGGCGUGCCUAAUACAUGCAAGUCGAGCGAACAGACGAGGAGCUUGCUCCUCUGACGUUAGCGGCGGACGGGUGAGUAACACGUGGAUAACCUACCUAUAAGACUGGGAUAACUUCGGGAAACCGGAGCUAAUACCGGAUAAUAUAUUGAACCGCAUGGUUCAAUAGUGAAAGACGGUUUUGCUGUCACUUAUAGAUGGAUCCGCGCCGCAUUAGCUAGUUGGUAAGGUAACGGCUUACCAAGGCAACGAUGCGUAGCCGACCUGAGAGGGUGAGCGGCCACACUGGAACUGAGACACGGUCCAGACUCCUACGGGAGGCGGCAGUAGGGAAUCUGCCGCAAUGGGCGAAAGCCUGACGGAGCAACGCCGCGUGAGUGAUGAAGGUCUUCGGAUCGUAAAACUCUGUUAUUAGGGAAGAACAAAUGUGUAAGUAACUAUGCACGUCUUGACGGUACCUAAUCAGAAAGCCACGGCUAACUACGUG